rnacentral:rRNA from 1 species
AGCAGCCGCGGUAAUUCCAGCUCCAAUAGCGUAUAUUAAAGUUGUUGCAGUUAAAAAGCUCGUAGUUGAAUUUCGGGAUCGAAUUGUUGGUCGUGCUUCGGUACGCACUGGCAUUAUCGGUUUCUACCUUCUGAAGAACCGCGAUGUCAUUAAUUUGGUGUCGUGGGGAAUCAGGACUGUUACUUUGAAAAAAUUAGAGUGUUUAAAGCAGGCUUACGCUUGAAUACAUUAGCAUGGAAUAAUGAAAUAGGACGUUUGAUUCUAUUUUGUUGGUUUCUAGGAUCGACGUAAUGAUUAAUAGGGAUAGUUGGGGGCAUUAGUAUUCAAUUGUCAGAGGUGAAAUUCUUGGAUUUAUUGAAGACUAACUACUGCGAAAGCAUUUGCCAAGGAUGUUUUCAUUAAUCAAGAACGAAAGUUAGAGGAUCGAAGACGAUCAGAUACCGUCGUAGUCUUAACCAUAAACUAUGCCGACUAGGGAUCGGAUGAUGUUAAUUUUUUAAUGACUCA